UACGUAGGUGGCAAGCGUUGUCCGGAAUUAUUGGGCGUAAAGCGCGCGCAGGCGGUUCUUUAAGUCUGAUGUGAAAGCCCACGGCUCAACCGUGGAGGGUCAUUGGAAACUGGGGACCUUGAGUACAGAAGAGGAAAGCGGAAUUCCACGUGUAGCGGUGAAAUGCGUAGAAAUGUGGAGGAACACCAGUGGCGAAGGCGGCUUUCUGGUCUGUAACUGACGCUGAGGCGCGAAAGCGUGGGGAGCAAACAGG
rnacentral:rRNA from 1 species